rnacentral:rRNA from 1 species
UAGGGAAUUUUCGUCAAUGGGCGCAAGCCUGAACGAGCAAUGCCGCGUGAGUGAGGAAGGUCUUCGGAUCGUAAAGCUCUGUUGCGGGGGAAAAAGGGAAGGAAGAGGAAAUGAUUUCUUCUUGAUGGUACCCCGCCAGAAAGUCACGGCUAACUACGUGCCAGCAGCCGCGGUAAUACGUAGGUGGCAAGCGUUAUCCGGAAUGAUUGGGCGUAAAGGGUGCGCAGGCGGCGCGUCAAGUCUGAAGUGAAAGGUACAGGCUCAACCUGUACAGGCUUUGGAAACUGGCGCGCUCGAGGACAGGAGAGGGCGGUGGAACUCCAUGUGUAGCGGUAAAAUGCGUAGAUAUAUGGAAGAACACCAGUGGCGAAGGCGGCCGCCUGGACUGUUGCUGACGCUC